UUCCAGCUGUUUGUACAGAGAGUGGUAGAGCAGGGUGUCCAGUGGCAGCUCUCCCACACUCGCGCCGCUCCUCCUCAUCCAGCGCUGGAGCCAGACUGCUGCUCAGGCUUUAUAUCAUUUAACUGCAGGGAUAGAUGACGGUAAUGAAGACGGCUCCUCACCGUCUGCUCCUCAUGGGGUAACAUCAGAUGAUAAUCUGCUUCACAGCACAUGUGUCAGAUGGAAGGAAUGCUAAUCUGGAAGAGGUGCAGAGCUUGGACUUUUUGGCAGCCAGUUUCCACUCUGCACUUACUUUCCAUGUGGUGCCGCUCCAGAGGCUCCGGCUUGAGAAGCCUGUUUGGGGAACGGAGGUGUUGACGGAUCCCAGAUCGCCCCAUUGGCCACGCCCCCCAUCUGAGGGUCACGGCUCUGAAGGACAACUGACCUGAACUUCUGUUCCAGUACCACUUCCAAAUCUGUAGUUCAUAUUAAGGUCUGGAAUGAAUGAUUGUGAUUCCUCAAUGAAGAUGUUAAAUGUGUGAGACCUAGGUUUGCUGAUCUUCACCUGUCAACUCACAUGGUUUACGGGGACUCUCCAUAGGCAUAAUGGUUUUUAUAGUUCACCCUUCACCAACUCUACAAAAUUGGGGUUGAUUUCGACUUCACAUACAAGUAGAAUAGGCUGAUUAAAUUUGUCUUUAUUUUAAUGUGAUACAAAAUAUUGUUCAGCAGUGAUUGAUAUAUGAUUUAAGACUGUAGUGUACAUAAGUUUACCGUAUUUUUCGGACUACUAGUCGCACCUGAGUAUAAGUCGCAUCAGUCCAAAAAUACGUCAUGAUGGGGAAAAAAACAUAUAUAAGUCGCAUU